rnacentral:misc_RNA from 1 species
UUCGAUCACAUGCUAGGCUGGCUGAAGACUCUCAACCCAGAAAUCGAUGGCGUAACAGGAUCCGAUUCCAACCCCAUCUCCACCUCCGACUCCAACUCAUCCCUCAUCUUCUACGGAGACAACGCUGCAUACGUCGACCCUGAUCCUGGCCACUCCAUCGAAGCCAUUUACGAGCAGGUGUUCGGUGUUGAAUGGACAGAAGCCGCACUUACUAGCGAGAACACUCUGACACCGAAAAUGAAUGGGUUCGCUCAGAACGCGGAGCGUAUUAAGCAGGGAAUGGCGAAGACAGUAAUGAACGGAUUUAAACCGGAGGCCCUACCGGUUUAUAAGGAGUUGGCGAUGAAUUUCGCAAUAUGUGAUCGGUGGUUUGCUUCAAUUCCGUCUUUGACGCAGCCGAAUAGGUUGUACGUGCAUUCUGCUACUUCGCAUGGGGCGACGAGUAAUGACACAAAGUUGCUUGCAGAAGGCUAUCCGCAGAAGACCAUAUUUGAGUCGAUGGAUGAGUCUGGUUUUACCUUUGGGAUUUAUUAUCAACACCCUCCUUCUACUCUGUUCUACAGGAAUCUUAGAAAGUUGAAGUACCUGAAGAACUUCCACCAGUUUGAUCUGCACUUUAAGAAGCACUGUGAGGAAGGGAAGCUACCAAACUAUGUGGUGAUUGAACCAAGGUAUUUCGACCUUUUAAACUUACCUGCAAACGAUGACCAUCCUUCACACAAUGUCUCUGAAGGCCAGAAAUUUGGGAAAGAAGUCUAUGAAGCUCUGAGAGCUAGCCCCCA